CCUACGGGGGGCAGCAGUAGGGAAUAUUGCUCAAUGGGGGAAACCCUGAAGCAGCAACGCCGCGUGGGGGAUGACGGUUUUCGGAUUGUAAACUCCUUUUGUUAGAGAAGAUAAUGACGGUAUCUAACGAAUAAGCACCGGCUAAAUCCGUGUCAGCAGCCGCGGUAAUACGGAGGGUGCAAGCGUUACUCGGAAUCACUGGGCGUAAAGAGCGCGUAGGCGGGAUAGCAAGUCAGAUGUGAAAUCCUAUGGCUUAACCAAAAAACUGCAUUUGAAACUGUUGUUCUAGAGUAUGGGAGAGGUAGGUGGAAUGCUUGGUGUAGGGGUAAAAUGCGUAGAGAUCAAGAAGAAUACUGAUUGCGAAGGCGGCCUGCUGGAACAUAACUGACGCUGAGGCGCGAAAGCGUGGGGAGCAAACAGGAUUAGAUACCCUAGUAGUC
rnacentral:rRNA from 1 species